rnacentral:tRNA from 1 species
GUGGGUGUAGCUCAGUGGUAGAGCACAUGCUUAGCAUGCACGAGGUCUGGAGUUCAAUCCCCAGUACCUCUG